CCAUCGGCUCUUUUCAGAGCCACCGAUUCAAUUGCUUAAGAACUUU
rfam:Anopheles arabiensis strain DONG5_A unplaced genomic scaffold supercont1.5, whole genome shotgun sequence.